rnacentral:rRNA from 1 species
AAUGAACGUUGGCGGCGUGGAUUAGGCAUGCAAGUCGUACGGGUCGGUGUAGCAAUACAACGGCAAGUGGCGAAAGGGAGAGUAACACGUAGAUACCUACCCUCUGGUCGGGGAUACCGCGGCAUAACCGCAAGUAAUACCCGAUAAAAUCUCCGGAUCAAAGGUGUGAUUCCGCCGGAGGAGGGGUCUGCGUUCUAUCAGCUUGUUGGUGAGGUAAUGGCUCACCAAGGCUAAGACGGAUACGGGGUGUGAGAGCAUGCCCCCGCUCACUGGGACUGAGACACUGCCCAGACACCUACGGGUGGCUGCAGUCGAGAAUCUUCGGCAAUGGGCGCAAGCCUGACCGAGCGACGCCGCGUGCGGGAUGAAGGCCUUCGGGUUGUAAACCGCUGUCGAGGGGAAUGAAGUGUAGGUGGGUACUCCCAUCUAUUUGACAGAUCCCUGGAGGAAGCACCGGCUAACUCUGUGCCAGCCGCCGCAGUAAAAC